CCGCGUGUGCGAUGAAGGCCUUCGGGUUGUAAAGCACUUUUGGCAGGAAAGAAACGUCAUGGGUUAAUACCCCGUGAAACUGACGGUACCUGCAGAAUAAGCACCGGCUAACUACGUGCCAGCAGCCGCGGUAAUACGUAGGGUGCAAGCGUUAAUCGGAAUUACUGGGCGUAAAGCGUGCGCAGGCGGUUCGGAAAGAAAGAUGUGAAAUCCCAGAGCUUAACUUUGGAACUGCAUUUUUAACUACCGGGCUAGAGUGUGUCAGAGGGAGGUGGAAUUCCGCGUGUAGCAGUGAAAUGCGUAGAUAUGCGGAGGAACACCGAUGGCGAAGGCAGCCUCCUGGGAUAACACUGACGCUCAUGCACGAAAGCGUGGGGAGCAAACA
rnacentral:rRNA from 1 species